GACGAACGCUGGCGGCGUGCCUAAUACAUGCAAGUUGAGCGAUGAAGAUUGGUGCUUGCACCAAUUUGCAGAGCAGCGAACGGGUGAGUAACGCGUGGGGAAUCUGCCUUUGAGCGGGGGACAACAUUUGGAAACGAAUGCUAAUACCGCAUAACAACUUUAAACAUAAGUUUUAAGUUUGAAAGAUGCAAUUGCAUCACUCAAAGAUGAUCCCGCGUUGUAUUAGCUAGUUGGUGAGGUAAAGGCUCACCAAGGCGAUGAUACAUAGCCGACCUGAGAGGGUGAUCGGCCACAUUGGGACUGAGACACGGCCCAAACUCCUACGGGAGGCAGCAGUAGGGAAUCUUCGGCAAUGGACGAAAGUCUGACCGAGCAACGCCGCGUGAGUGAAGAAGGUUGUCGGAUCGUAAAACUCUGUUGGUAGAGAAGAACGUUGGUGAGAGUGGAAAGCUCAUCAAGUGACGGUAACUACCCAGAAAGGGACGGCUAACUACGUG
rnacentral:rRNA from 1 species